UUUUAAGCAGGGGAAUGGCAAGAUCAUGUUUACACGCUGAGAAGGUCUCUCCAACCACACUGUGGAAAAAGGCCUGGAGGGAAGCAGGCAGAUGUUCCAGACCAUUAAAGCUCUGGUGCUGGCUCAGGUGUAUUUUGGCUCUUAGGUUUCUGGUUGAUUUUCUUUCAACUUGAUUCCUUUCCUGAGAGGGAAAGGCAGGGUUCAUUAGUGAAUUGGGAUACAAACCCUGGAUGUUUGGUCUUUUUUGGUUAAAUGUCAACUUUCUUUUACUACAGCAUUUAUUAUUGGUUGCAGCAACCCUAAUAUCUUGAAGGAAUCGAGACUGGUUGUACUUUAUAGACUAAACAGUGUUUAGAGGCCAUCCAGCCCCGUUGCCCUCCCUGUGUUGAGAUUACUGCUGUGACAUUUCUCCAUUGAGCAUUUAACCUUCAUUUGGACUCCAUAUGUAACAGGAACCUGGUAGAUUGUCCCUUAAUUCUCCCUUUCUCAAAUUUACCUUGCCCUUCAGUCACCAAGCCUGGUCAUCCCUACUUUUUUUUUUGGUGUUGGGAAUUGAACCCAGGAGUGCUUAACCACUGAGUCACAUCCCCAGCCCUUUUAAUUUUGUAUUUUGAGACAGGGUCUCACUGAAUUGCUUAGGGCCUCACUAAGUUGCUAAAUUGGCAACGGGUUCUCCUCCUGCCUCAGCCUCUGGAGUCGCUGAGAUUACAAGUGUGGGCCACUGCAACCGACAUCCCUACUGCUUCAGUUAUCUCCAGAAAAUGUCUACCUCAAAAUGUUUCCUACUAUCUGUCACCUUGAUUAUUGCAGCUUGAGGUAUCUUUCUGAAAUGUAAAUGUAGCUGUCAUUUGUGCUUAAAACUUCUCAGACUUCUCCAUUGGAAGGAAGUUCAGAUUUCUUAGUGUGGCUUUAAGAGAGCCUUCUCCAAACUUCAUCUCAUGCCAUAGUCUUUUUGUACAGUCUAUAUAGUGUUCUGCUUUGUUACAGCUGCCUAGACCCUGUCCCUGAAGGUUACUACUCCAUAGAUUUAGGCUAAGAACCAGCAUCCCUCUUUUCAGAACUCCUCAGGUGAUUCUGAUGUGUAUCCAGAGUUAAGCUCUGAUCUCUGCUCUGAUCCCAAGCUUUUCAUUUGGACUGCACAUCAGUUAACAUCAUCUGAAGAACCUUUAAAUUGCAAAACCCGAUUCUCACUCUCAGAGAUUCAGAUUUGGCUUCUGCUUUUAGUUCCCAGACUUUUAAUCAAUCAGUGUCUCUCCCUCCCUCCCUCUCUUUCUCUCUCCCCUCCCCGUUCCCCCCACCUCAUUUGUUGAUAUUGACCCCUAUAAUUCUAGGUGGAACCUCUAUAUACAAUCCAAGGGGCAGAACUGAGAAGUG
rnacentral:lncRNA from 1 species